rnacentral:rRNA from 1 species
AGCGAACGCUGGCGGCAGGCCUAACACAUGCAAGUCGAACGAAGUCUUCGGGCUUAGUGGCGGACGGGUGAGUAACACGUGGGAACGUGCCUUUAGGUUCGGAAUAACUCAGGGAAACUUGUGCUAAUACCGAAUGUGCCCUUCGGGGGAAAGAUUUAUCGCCUUUAGAGCGGCCCGCGUCUGAUUAGCUAGUUGGUGAGGUAAAGGCUCACCAAGGCUACGAUCAGUAGCUGGUCUGAGAGGAUGACCAGCCACAUUGGGACUGAGACACGGCCCAAACUCCUACGGGAGGCAGCAGUGGGGAAUCUUGCGCAAUGGGCGAAAGCCUGACGCAGCCAUGCCGCGUGGAUGAUGAGGGUCUUAGGAUUGUAAAAUCCUUUCACCGGUGAAGAUAAUGACUGUAGCCGGAGAAGAAGCCCCGGCUAACUUCGUGCCAGCCGCCGCAGUAAUAC